rnacentral:tRNA from 1 species
GUCCAGGGUAGCCUAAUGGACAUGGCAUCUACCCAGUAAGCGGAACUUUGUAGGUUCGAUUCCCAUACAUGGACA